rnacentral:rRNA from 1 species
GACGAACGCUGGCGGCGUGCUUAACACAUGCAAGUCGAACGGAAAGGCCCUUCGGGGUACUCGAGUGGCGAACGGGUGAGUAACACGUGGGUGAUCUGCCCUGCACUUUGGGAUAAGCCUGGGAAACUGGGUCUAAUACCGGAUAGGACUACGGCCUGCAUGGGUUGUGGUGGAAAGCUUUUGCGGUGUGGGAUGAGCCUGCGGACUAUCAGCUUGUUGGUGGGGUGAUGGCCUACCAAGGCGUCGACGGUUAGCCGGCCUGAGAGGGUGUCCGGCCACACUGGGACUGAGAUACGGCCCAGACUCCUACGGGAGGCAGCAGUGGGGAAUAUUGCACAAUGGGCGCAAGCCUGAUGCAGCGACGCCGCGUGGGGGAUGACGGCCUUCGGGUUGUAAACCUCUUUCAGCACAGACGAAGCGCAAGUGACGGUAUGUGCAGAAGAAGCACCGGCCAACUACGUGCCAGCCGCCGCGGUAAAAC